CACAGAGGGUGUGAGCGUUAAUCGGAAUUACUGGGCGUAAAGCGCGCGUAGGCGGCUUUGCAAGUCGGGUGUGAAAUCCCCAGGCUUAACCUGGGAACUGCAUUCGAGACUGCAUUGCUAGAGUAUGGGAGAGGGAAGUGGAAUUUCAGGUGUAGCGGUGAAAUGCGUAGAUAUCUGAAGGAACAUCAGUGGCGAAAGCGACUUCCUGGACCAAUACUGACGCUCAUGUGCGAAAGCGUGGGGAGCAAACAGG
rnacentral:rRNA from 1 species